GUGGGGAAUAUUGGACAAUGGGCGAAAGCCUGAUCCAGCCAUGCCGCGUGUGUGAAGAAGGUCUUCGGAUUGUAAAGCACUUUAAGUUGGGAGGAAGGGCAGUAAGUUAAUACCUUGCUGUUUUGACGUUACCGACAGAAUAAGCACCGGCUAACUUCGUGCCAGCAGCCGCGGUAAUACGAAGGGUGCAAGCGUUAAUCGGAAUUACUGGGCGUAAAGCGCGCGUAGGUGGUUUUGUAAGUUGGAGGUGAAAUCCCCGGACUCAACCUGGGAACUGCCUCCAAAACUGCAUGACUAGAGUACGGUAGAGGGUAGUGGAAUUUCCUGUGUAGCGGUGAAAUGCGUAGAUAUAGGAAGGAACACCAGUGGCGAAGGCGACUACCUGGACUGAUACUGACACUGAGGUGCGAAAGCGUGGGGAGCAAACAGGAUUAGAAACCCCGGUAGUCC
rnacentral:rRNA from 1 species